GUCGGGCGGGGCCUCGGGAGCGGGCGGGAGGUGGGGCUGGAGGAAGGGAGGUGGCUUAGAGAGGGUGCGGGGCGAAGCAGCGGCGGCGAGGGGAGGGGCGGGCGUUGUGACGUCACGAAGAAGACCGCUCUUAUACUGGAGUUCGGGCGCCAUAUCGGUCUUUCGGUGCUGCGAGUCUGGUCGGGAGUAGGUAGGUUGCUGCUUUGCGGUGGUUGAAAGCGGUCAGCUCUUGGAACUCUUAGGCGUUUUGUCCUUCCCGAACGGGUUGCUUUGCUAGGCCUAAGGCGCGCAUUUGCAGGCCUCUCUAGGCGGAGGGGGAGAUGGCGUGUUGGGAGCCCGCGCGACCUAGAUAGCGUUGGGAUUUUGGGGCUUAAACUAUGAGGAAGACCCGGCUCGAGUGCCCUGCCUGUGAUGAAGCCUUAGUUGGUAGGGACAUCUGAAGAGUGUUGAAGAAUGCCAACGGCUCUGAAGGCGGCCGGCGCCGAGUCGCCAGAGUAGGCCUUUGUUCCAGUAAUGGCGCUCCCAGCCUGGAGCGGCUCGAUCUGAGGGAAGGACAGAAGAGCCCACGUGGUUCUUUUAGGUGGCUGGAUUCCGCAGUGCACCAUUUUUGGUGCAUAACAGUGUAUUUCUUGCUUGCAUAUUCAUAUGUAUUCACGAUUUUAUCAGUGGUUUUUAGUUGCAUUGUUAUUUCGCAACAUGAAGUGCAUCAUUUACUUAAGCCUAUGGUGGUAUGAACUAUCGGUAUUAGAUAGUAACAAAUGUAAAAUAUUAACUUAAAUGGAACGAAAGAAUUUAAGGUCUAACGUAUUAGAAAUGGUAUGGGGUAGGUAUGUAAUGUGGGUUAUUUUGUGUGGACACUGGAAAUUGAACCCAGGAGUCACAUCUCCAAAUGUUUUUCUGUUUAAGAGACGCAGGGUGUCCCCUAAACUGUAUCUACUUGCUUCAGCAUUCCGAAGUAGCUGCAGUGUGGCCCCGGAUGGCAUCUUGCAUGCAGGUAAGAAUGAAAUAUUCAUAGAGAUAGCUUUUAUAUUAAGCCUAUGAUGGUGUAAAGAGUAGUGGACAGAAGGGAUUUCUGAAAAAUUUCAUUCUGAGGCUUUAAUAUUUUGAACAUGUAAUCUGAUUUUUAAUUCACCAAAGGAUGUUUCUCAUUGUUUGUAUUAUUUGUUUUCUAGUUACAUGCCAAAGGAAUGAAUGCCAAGGUAAGAUACUGAAAUUUCCUCAUAAGGGAUUUAGAUUAAUUGCUUAAUGUGCUACAAUGAUGACAUUUAUUUGCUACUCUUGACUGCAGGAAUGACGAUAGACUAAACCACCAUUAUUUUAACUGAGGCACACAAAAUAGUUAUUUGGGGACUGUAGAGAUUGCACCUUGGUAACAUGAAAUUGUUUUUUCCCAGGUAAAAAAGAGCCUCUCCAGCAAUGGACGCAAGGUUAGAAACAUUUAUAUACUCAUGCAUUAUUUAAAAUUGAAAGUAGACAAAACAAUCUUAUUAGCAUUUCCCCCUUUGUAGAUGUGAUCUGCUCUAAUUCCUAAAUCAAACUUCUGGGGGCAGGCGGAAGAGGCAGAUACUGUGAUGGUUGCAUAGUUCAGCAGAUUUAAGGCAUGAAGAAAUUUACCUUUUCUGAUGUAUCUGGGAUUGUUGUUCAUGGCUGUUAAUCAGCAUAAGCAAUAUGGCAAUUAGCAACUUUAAGAUCUAAAAUUUUUUUAUAUAUUUUUUUUUUAGGCACUAGAUAGAAAACCAGAAGUAGAAAUGGUGAGUAAAGCAUUCCACUAAACAUAGGUAGCUGGGCAAAAAAGAUGGCGUUUUUGGAUUGCAUUUUUUUGUAGUAAGCACUCAAGCAUGAGGGCUAAAUUCAUUAAAUGCCAGUAUCUUGCCUGUUACCAUUUCUGUGAGGUCAGUGUGGCCUGGAUGAUGAUAAGAAGAUAACUGACUGAACGUGAAGUUUUUAAUUAGCUCUAACUGAUUUCGGGCAUUGUUGGUUUGGGCUGGGAGAAAUUUCAUAUUUGGCUAUUCUAAAGUCACCCUUAUUCAUUAGGUGGAGGAUGAUUUCUUUGGAUCUGCUUUAUUUUUCUAGUAAGUAUUGGAAAGCAUUACCUGAGAAUGCCAAUAAACUGCAUGCCUGUUGCAUAAUUUAAAAGUGAAUGAAAACUUGGCAUAUUUGAGCAUGCUCCAAAUGGGGUUUGUGUAAUGAUGUUGUUCAAAUGUCUGACCUGAAAUGAGCAUGUAGACAAGUUUUAUGCUGAAGAACCCAAGACAUACAGUUUGAAGAGAAUUGAUGACAUUUAGCAUACUAACAAAGUUCCUCAUACUUUCAUUUGUAGUUCCUGGAAACACAUUUUGAUCUGGAUAGCAUGAUUGGGUAAGACCACAAAAACAAUUUUUUAGUUCCUGAUGUCUUAGGUUUAUAGUUUUGAAACAUAAUUUUACUAAUGAAUUGUUAAGUCUAAGGAUUAUUUCUUGUUAAACCAGUAGACCAGAAAUAACUUUACUAUAUAUAAAGUAGAUUUAACAAUUGAAUAAGGGUUGCAAGUAUUUGUAAAUAAGGUAAAUAACUGUUUUCAAAGUUAGUAUGAAACUGUUGGGAAGAAGUUUCUAAAGCAAUAACUUUACAGAUUGGAGACCUGUUUUUUUUAAUAUUUUAAAGUUGUUGAUGGACCUUUAUUAUGUGGUGCUGAGAAUCGAACACAGUGCCUCAUGCAUGCCAGGCAAGCGUGCAACCACUGAGUCACAACCCCAGCCCUGAAACUAUUUAAAGGUAUGUAUCAUUUAUCUUACAUACUUAUUGUGUAAGGUGCUGUUAAUGAUGACUUAAAGUUGAAACAGAUGGGAAUCUCUCUGACAGAGAAUGAAGAUUAACGUUAAACUGAAACAGUAGUUGGAAAAUAUUUAGAAAUAUCUUUGUUAAAAACCUAUUGCUAAGUUAGACUAAAUUCCUGCAGGUACACAGACUCAGCUUGGGAAGCAGUGGCAAGAAGUUUUAAGCAAAGGUACAUCAGUCUCAAGAUUUUAAUUAAGGGGUGAACUAAGGCCUUGCAUAUACUAGGUGGGCACCUCAGGCCUCAAGCUGGAUAUAGACUAGAUGUUCUCAAAGCCGAUACAAUGAUGAUAACAUAGUUCAGCAGAUUUUCACUGAUGAGCAAUCAUGUCUUUCGCUCCUAUCUGAUGUAUCUGGCUCAACAAUCCAACUCAUUCUGUUAAAAAUGACCUUUUAUUGUCCCCAUACAAAAUUUUUAUGGACUUGGUACUACAAUGACUGUUUCAGAUCCUACCCUGUAUUUUCCAUUAAUGCCAGGAGUGAAGCUGGACAAGGUGUGUCUAUGAUCCUCCUAUCUACACUAUCCUGAGGGAUGACCAUCUCAUGAGCCCAGGAGAUAGUGGCCAGGAGAAGCAAUAAUGAGAACUCUUGAAUUCAUGAUUGGGGAGGUUAGUACCAAAACUUAGGAUAAUUUUAUUACAUACUCAAAAUUACUUAGCUUAACUAAAACAUAAAUACUUUUUAAAAAAUUACUUCACUUGCCCCAAAUGAGUGCUUAGCUAGCUAUUUUUUUAAAGAUGAAAAUAUGCCACUAAAAUGAAAGAGAGUAGGACCUUUACCAUUUACUUUGGGAUGCUGGGGAUUGAACCCUGGGCUUCAUGAAAGCUAAUCUAUGUUCUCCACCAUAAAGUACGAUAAAUUUCAAGUGUAUACUUGUUUUCUUUAACAGGUUUGCUGCAUCCUGAGAUCUAGGUAUGUCAAGAUUUAGUACAUAUAUUACAUAUUUUAGUAUGUAACCAGUGAUGUAAUGAUUCUGCCAAAUGAAUGUAAUGAUAUCACUUUCAAAACCGUUCCAUUUUUGAUUCUGAGGUUACUACACCUAAAAAGCAUCCUGUAACAUUUUUUUGCCAUGAUUAAUAUGGACUUUUCUGUUUUAGGGCUUUUGUGGCAGCUGCAGGGAUAUCACUUAACCUUUAGGUAAGUAUUGAAACUAUCAGCACUAAUUACUAUUCUGAAUACAUGAUGAUCUCACCCCAACUUGAACUCUCUCACUGAUCACUUGAUGACAGUAAAAAGAUCUGAUAUUCUGUGUUCCCCAAGUACCAUUUAAGUUGUAAUCUGGAAAUGUGGCUAAAAAGUGUUUUUUGUUGCAGGUAGCUGGAUGGAUGCUCUUUUGGGAUAGAAGAUUGAAUAUGUCAUCACUUUAAGUUUCUGAAGAGAUCUGAGUCUAGUUUUGGGCUGCGGGUUGAACCUAUGAAGUAUAUUUCAAGCAUGAUGGGGAAGGGAAUAAAGGUGCCUAAUAAAAGUCACUAAGGAAAAUUUUAGUGCUCUGUCAUUUUGAG
rnacentral:lncRNA from 1 species